CGCAUCUGUGCAUGCAGCAUAUCAAUAAGCGGAGGAAAAGUAACUAACAAGGAUUCCCUUAGUAACGGCGAGUGAAGCGGGAAGAGCUCAAAUUUGAAAUCUUCAAGGUUUUACCUUGACGAAUUGUAGUUUAAAGAAGUGUUUUCCUGUUGAAGUUUUGGUAAAAGUUCUUGGAAUAGGACAUCAUAGAGGGUGAGAAUCCCGUAUUUGACCAUUAUUUUCAGCUGUGUGAUACACUUUCAAAGAGUCGGAUUGUUUGGGAAUGCAGUCCAAAAUGGGUGGUAAAUUUCAUCUAAAGCUAAAUAUUGGCGAGAGACCGAUAGCGAACAAGUACCGUGAGGGAAAGAUGAAAAGAACUUUGAAAAGAGAGUUAAACAGUACGUGAAAUUGUCAAAAGGGAAGCGUUUGACACCAGUGUUGUUUUCUCGAAAAUCAAUUAAAAAGAGUUUGAUUUUGUUGUGUAUUGACCUUAACAGCUUGCAUUUCAAUUUUCUUGCUUUUUUUAAUGCACUUUUCGUUUAACAAGUCAACAUCAGUUUCUUUUGUUGUAAAAAGGUCAUUGGAAGGUGGCUUUCUUUUCGGAGAAAGCGUUUAUAGCCUUUGACUCCUGCAAUCGGAGAGACUGAGGUCUGCAGCGUAGAUCCUUCGGGGUUAGAUACAUUUGUGCUAAGUUAUAGCUUUUUAUAGACAACUUGUUGACUCGUGAUUAGUCUUGUAGCUUACUCGCUUAUGCUAUUUUACCUACGCUUAGGAUGUUGAUGUGAUACUGCGAGCA
rnacentral:rRNA from 1 species